rnacentral:rRNA from 1 species
GACGAACGCUGGCGGCGUGCUUAACACAUGCAAGUCGAGCGGUAAGGCCCCUUCGGGGGUACACGAGCGGCGAACGGGUGAGUAACACGUGGGUGACCUGCCCUCAGCUCUGGGAUAAGCCUGGGAAACUGGGUCUAAUACCGGAUAUGACUCCAUGACGCAUGUCGUGGGGUGGAAAGCCUUGUGCGGCUGGGGAUGGGCCCGCGGCCUAUCAGCUUGUUGGUGGGGUGANGGCCUACCAAGGCGACGACGGGUAGCCGGCCUGAGAGGGCGACCGGCCACACUGGGACUGAGACACGGCCCAGACUCCUACGGGAGGCAGCAGUGGGGAAUCUUGCGCAAGUGGGCGAAAGCCUGACGCAGCGACGCCGCGUGAGGGAUGACGGCCUGGUUGUAACGUA